CCUACGGGAGGCAGCAGUGAGGAAUAUUGGUCAAUGGCCGGAAGGCUGAACCAGCCAAGUCGCGUGAGGGACGACUGCCCUCUGGGUUGUAAACUUCUUUUAUAAGGGCAGAAUAAAUGCUACGUGUAGCAUGAUGCCUGUACCUUAUGAAUAAGCAUCGGCUAACUCCGUGCCAGCAGCCGCGGUAAUACGGAGGAUGCGAGGGUUAUCCGGAUUUAUUGGGUUUAAAGGGUGGGUAGGGGGUUUGUUAAGUUAGUGGUUAAACGGCGGGGCUUAACCUUGAUUUGCCAUUAAUACUGUAAGACUCGAGUUCUGGCGAGGUAGGCGGAAUUCGGUGAGUAGCGGUGAAAUGCUUAGAUAUA
rnacentral:rRNA from 1 species